GUUCAGACUGAGCGUGGAUUUUGAGGUCAUCAACCAGUGACGCUGAAGUUCACACAUGCAUCUUUUGUUAGCCUGAAAAUUCUGCAGCUGCUAAAUGUUUUCCAAGAAAGCCAACCAAGGAUAAAACUACUAUGGAG
rnacentral:lncRNA from 1 species